rnacentral:tRNA from 1 species
GGUCCCGUAGCUCAGUGGGGUGUUCCCGGGGACACCUAAGAGCGCUGCGCCUGACAGCGCGGAGGUAGGAGGUUCAAAUCCUUCCGGGACCA